rnacentral:rRNA from 1 species
CGAAUGGCUCAUUAAAUCAGCAAUAAUUUAUUCGGUGGAUGAAGUAAUUCUGAGAUGGAUAACCGUGGUAAAAGCUAGAGCUAAUACAUGCAGAAGAGAGUUCACGGGAAGUGAAGGUAUAUAUUAGAUACAAAACCAAAGAGAGAGGGGAGUGAUAAUAUUUGGAACAGAUCACGAGGGAGUGACGAGCCGAUCAAAUUUCUGCCCUAUCAACUUUGGACGGUAGUAUAGAGGACAACCGUGGUGAUAACGGGUAACGGAGGAUUAGGGUUCGACACCGGAGAGGGAGCCUGAGAAACGGCUACCACUUCUACGGAAGGCAGCAGGCGCGUAAAUUACCCAAUCCUAAUUCAGGGAGGUAGUGACAAGAAAUAAUAGACCGGCGUAAGCCGGGUUUACAAUGAGCCUAAUUUACACAGCUUAGUGAGGAUCCAUUGGAGGG